UACGAAGGGGGCUAGCGUUGCUCGGAAUCACUGGGCGUAAAGCGCACGUAGGCGGACUCUUAAGUCGGGGGUGAAAGCCCAGGGCUCAACCCUGGAAUUGCCUUCGAUACUGGGAGUCUUGAGUGUGGCAGAGGUUGGUGGAACUGCGAGUGUAGAGGUGAGAUUCGUAGAUAUUCGCAAGAACACCAGUGGCGAAGGCGGCCAACUGGUCCGGUACUGACGCUGAGGUGCGAAAGCGUGGGGAGCAAACAGG
rnacentral:rRNA from 1 species